GACAAGCCGAGCGGUAUUGUUUCUUCGGAAACGAGAGAGCGGCGCACGGGUGCGGAACACGUGUGCAACCUGCCUUUAUCUGGGGGAUAGCCUUUCGAAAGGAAGAUUAAUACCCCAUAAUAUUUUGAAUGGCAUCAUUUAAAAUUGAAAACUCCGGUGGAUAGAGAUGGGCACGCGCAAGAUUAGAUAGUUGGUAGGGUAACGGCCUACCAAGUCAGUGAUCUUUAGGGGGCCUGAGAGGGUGAUCCCCCACACUGGUACUGAGACACGGACCAGACUCCUACGGGAGGCAGCAGUGAGGAAUAUUGGACAAUGGGUGAGAGCCUGAUCCAGCCAUCCCGCGUGAAGGACGACGGCCCUAUGGGUUGUAAACUUCUUUUGUACAGGGAUAAACCUUUCCACGUGUGGAAAGCUGAAGGUACUGUACGAAUAAGCACCGGGCUAACUCCGUGCCAGCAGCCGCGGUAAUACGGAGGGUGCAAGCGUUAUCCGGAUUUAUUGGGUUUAAAGGGUCCGUAGGCGGAUCCGUAAGUCAGUGGUGAAAUCUCAUAGCUUAACUAUGAAACUGCCAUUGAUACUGCGGGUCUUGAGUAAGGUAGAAGUAGCUGGAAUAAGUAGUGUAGCGGUGAAAUGCAUAGAUAUUACUUAGAACACCAAUUGCGAAGGCAGGUUACUAUGUCUUAACUGACGCUGAUGGACGAAAGCGUGGGGAGCGAACAGGAUUAGAUACCCUGGUAGUCCACGCCGUAAACGAUGCUAACUCGUUUUUGGGCUUUCGGGUUCAGAGACUAAGCGAAAGUGAUAAGUUAGCCACCUGGGGAGUACGAACGCAAGUUUGAAACUCAAAGGAAUUGACGGGGGCCCGCACAAGCGGUGGAUUAUGUGGUUUAAUUCGAUGAUACGCGAGGAACCUUACCAAGACUUAAAUGGGAAUUGAUCGGUUUAGAAAUAGACCUUCCUUCGGGCAAUUUUCAAGGUGCUGCAUGRUUGUCGUCAGCUCGUGCCGUGAGGUGUUAGGUUAAGUCCUGCAACGAGCGCAACCCCUGUCACUAGUUGCCAUCAUUCAGUUGGGGACUCUAGUGRGACUGCCUACGCAAGUAGAGAGGAAGGUGGGGAUGACGUCAAAUCAUCACGGCCCUUACGUCUUGGGCCACACACG
rnacentral:rRNA from 1 species